ensembl:lncRNA LINC02333 long intergenic non-protein coding RNA 2333
GGAGCAGCUUCCAGUUGUCUUCUCCCUGUGGAGUUAUAUGAACAGAACUUAAUUCUCCCAGCAAUGACGUGUGACAAUAUGGACAAAGAAUUGUCAACCAGGGAUGCUCACACAAACUUUUGUGUCCAAGGAGAUAUUCUCAACAUGGGAUGUGCAUCUAAGUUAUGAAGCAUAACAAUUAAAUAACAUCCAUAAACCCAUGACCUCAUGCAGAAUGAAACAUUUCUAGUCCCGUGGAAGCUACAGGACUGCUGGAAUUUCUUCUCUGAUCCAGUCCCCUUGCUUCGCAACAGAGGUUCCUGCUUCUCCACGCCAAUGACAUGGUGAGAGAAUAGAGGGGAAGCUGAAGACAAACAACAUAAACUUAUGUUUGAAAAGCACCUUUUACUCUAUGAAAUAAAGUGAGUGUAAGCAGUAAAUGGAACAACAA